rnacentral:rRNA from 1 species
GACGAACGCUGGCGGCGUGCCUAAUACAUGCAAGUCGAGCGAAUGACGAGGAGCUUGCUCCUUUGAUUUAGCGGCGGACGGGUGAGUAACACGUGGGCAACCUGCCCUAUAGCUUGGGAUAACUUCGGGAAACCGGAGCUAAUACCGAAUAAUCCAUUUUCUCUCAUGAGAAGAUGCUGAAAGAUGGUUUCGGCUAACACUCUAGGAUGCGCCCGCGGCGCAGUAGCUAGUUGGUGAGGUAACGGCUCACCAAGGCGACGAGGCGUAGCCGACCUGAGAGGGUGAUCGGCCACACUGGGACUGAGACACGUCCCAGACUCCUACGGGAGGCAGCAGUAGGGAAUCUUCCACAAUGGGCGAAAGCCUGAUGGAGCAACGCCGCGUGAGUGAAGAAGGUUUUCGGAUCGUAAAACUCUGUUGUAAGGGAAGAACAAGUGCCGUAGUAACUGGCGGCACCUUGACGGUACCUUAUUAGAAAGCCACGGCUAACUACGUGCCAGCCGCCGCAGUAA